UACAGAGGUCCCAAGCGUUGUUCGGAUUCAUUGGGCGUAAAGGGUGCGUAGGCGGUUGCCUAAGUCAGGUGUGAAAUCUCGAGGCUCAACCUCGAAACUGCACUUGAUACUGGGUGACUUGAGUACUGGAGGGGAGACUGGAAUUUACGGUGUAGCAGUGGAAUGCGUAGAUAUCGUAAGGAAGACCAGUGGCGAAGGCGAGUCUCUGGACAGUUACUGACGCUGAGGCACGAAGGCUAGGGGAGCAAACGGG
rnacentral:rRNA from 1 species